rnacentral:rRNA from 1 species
UUCCGUACGUGAACCUGCGGAAGGAUCACUGAUUCAUAUCGACUAAUGUAUCCACGAUCUUUCGUGGCUUUCUCUCACAACUUUAACACUCAACGCAUGGUGGGCGGUUCCCAUCUAUUGUGUAAUACAAAACCUUGCUGAUGGAUGUCUAGGCUCUUGUAUCGAUGAAGAACGCAGCAGAUAGCGAUAUAUGAUGAUUGAAGCUCUGUCGUGAAUCAUUGAAUCUUCGAACGCAUCUUGUGCUCUUGGUAUAUCCCGAAAAGGGUUGAGCAUGCGUAGCAUAGUGACGACUCAUAUACAUGGUGCGGGGAUGGUUUCCUGUGUCUCCCGUACUCAUCUGUCUAGACACGGUCAUCGUGCUUGGCUAAUAAAUCCAAUCUCGAAAAGAGACCCGUGGUUCGCGUCUGCUGACCACGUAACAUGUACGUCCUAUGCUAACGUAAGAGUACCCGCCGAACUUAAGCAUAUC